CGGAGGAAAAGAAACUAACAAGGAUUCCCCUAGUAACUGCGAGUGAAGCGGGAAAAGCUCAAAUUUAAAAUCUGGUGGUCUUUGGCUAUCCGAGUUGUAAUCUAGAGAAGUGUUAUCCGCGCUGGACCCG
rnacentral:rRNA from 1 species